GGAACGCCAACAUGAGUGAUGACUUACACCAGGCCUCACCACCCACUCCAGCAGCAACGUGAGAAUGGAACAGAGCUGAGCCAGGAUUCCCAGAAGGAAAAGCCCUGGGCAGAGGCAGGAUGGUGAGGUCAUUUGACAAACAGGUGAGAAGCAACCAAGACCACAUCAAUCUGCCGUUAAGCACCCACUCCACAGAUGCUGAGGCUGUAAAGCUGGGUGACCCUGUGAGCUGGGCUGAUGUAGGCAGCACGAGCCGCUUCUCUUUCUUGGCCACGUCCUCCUAGAGGGAGCCAUCUCUCGUCUGCCAUCAGCUGUUGCCUGCCAUUUGUCUCCCUGGGCAAGACUACCAGGCUAAAACAAGGUCCUCCGAGGUCCUCUGUCAGGCAAUCACUGAGGGCACGCUGCCAGCAAACUGUAGAAACGCAUAUAUCAGAAUGGAGCUCAGAAGCCCCAGUGCAUCCCCUGCUCAACACAUCUGGCUCCCAGGUAAGACCUGGUUGCUCUGAGGCUCAUCCAAUAUAGGUUUGUGGGACCAACAGGGAGCAGUGAGAAUGGGGCUUCCUCACCACCUCGCACAGACAGCAGAACACAGUUGUUCUGUGGGAACAAGCAGUGUCUCCC